rnacentral:tRNA from 1 species
CGGCCUGUCGUCCGGCCACGGCCGACUCGGCUGCCUGACACGCAGCACUCCCCUUGGGCAUACGAGGGCCCGGCCGGAUCUUUCCGGCCGGGCCCUC